UACGUAGGCAGCAAGCGUUGUUCGGAGUUACUGGGCGUAAAGAGUGCGUAGGUGGUGCCCUAAGUCUGUUGUGAAAUCUCCCGGCUUAACUGGGAGGGUGCGGUGGAAACUGGGGUGCUUGAGUGGUGGGAGAGGUAAGCGGAAUUCCUGGUGUAGCGGUGAAAUGCGUAGAUAUCAGGAGGAACACCGGUGGUGUAGACGGCUUACUGGACCACGACUGACACUGAGGCACGAAAGCGUGGGUAGCAAACAGG
rnacentral:rRNA from 1 species